CGGGCCGUAGCGUAGCUUGGUAGCGCGCCUGCUUUGGGAGCAGGAUGUCGCAGGUUCAAAUCCUGUCGGCCCGA
rnacentral:tRNA from 1 species